UAAUCCUCUGUAGUCAUGUUGCAAGUAUGGCCACUGUGUUACAUGCAUGCCAGUAGGUGGCAGAGAGGACAAAGGCUGUGUCUAGUCUCAGUUUUCUGACCAACAGCUGAAUGAGUAGUAGCCUAAGAAU
rfam:Mus musculus chromosome 15, GRC primary reference assembly.